UAUGCUGAGUCCAGCCAAAGGGCAGCCCAGCAGCUCUCCCGCAUCCUCCAGUACCUCUCUGAGGACCUCAGAAUGCUGGCAGAGGCUCUGUUAUUUGCACCAACUGGCAGGAAGAUGGUUUGCCAUGGGCUGCAUUCAAGCAUUUGGCUGGCUCCAUAAGCUGUGGA